AUGGCAGGAAAAGUAUUUAGAAAGUUUCUUCCACUCUUUGACCAAGUAUUGGUUGAAAGAAGCGCAACCGAAACUGUAACCAAGGGAGGCAUUAUGCUUCCAGAAAAAUCUCAGGGAAAGGUAUUGCAAGCGACAGUAGUGGCCAUUGGCUAGGGCGCCAAAGGAAAUGGUGGGGAGAUUCAACCAGUUAGUAUGAAAGUUGGAGAUAAAGUUCUUCUCCCAGAAUAUGGAGGCACCAAAGUAGUUCUAGACGACAAGGAUUAUUUCUUAUUUAGAGAUGGUGACAUUCUUGGAAAGUAUGUGGACUGAAGCAAAACGCUGUUGAAAUGGCAUCAACAUGAAACUGCCCAUUCCACUGAAGUUGUGAAAUUUUUCAUCAUGUAAAUAAUUUUCGUGUUUUUCUUUUAUAAUAAACUAAUGAUAUCUAAACUAAAAAAAAAAAAA